AUUGAACGCUGGCGGCAUGCCUUACACAUGCAAGUCGAACGGUAACAGGUCUUCGGAUGCUGACGAGUGGCGAACGGGUGAGUAAUACAUCGGAACGUGCCCGAGAGUGGGGGAUAACGAGGCGAAAGCUUUGCUAAUACCGCAUACGAUCUCAGGAUGAAAGCAGGGGACCGCAAGGCCUUGCGCUCACGGAGCGGCCGAUGGCAGAUUAGGUAGUUGGUGGGAUAAAAGCUUACCAAGCCGACGAUCUGUAGCUGGUCUGAGAGGACGACCAGCCACACUGGGACUGAGCAACGGCCCAAACUCCUACGGGAGGCAGCAGUGGGGAAUGUUGGACAAUGGGCGCAAGCCUGAUCCAGCCAUGCCGCGUGCAGGAUGAAGGCCUUCGGGUUGUAAACUGCUUUUGUACGGAACGAAAAGACUCUGGUUAAUACCUGGGGUCCAUGACGGUACCAUAAGAAUAAGCACCGGCUAACUACGUGCCAGCCGCCGCCGUAACAC
rnacentral:rRNA from 1 species